rnacentral:rRNA from 1 species
UACAUGUGGGGCAAGCGUUGUUCGGAAUUACUGGGCAUAAAGGGUCCGUAGGCGGUUUUGUAAGUCAGUGGUGAAAGCCCAUCGCUCAACGGUGGAACGGCCAUUGAUACUGCAAAACUUGAAUUAUUGGGAAGUAACUAGAAUAUGUAGUGUAGCGGUGAAAUGCUUAGAUAUUACAUGGAAUACCAAUUGCGAAGGCAGGUUACUAUCAAUAUAUUGACGCUGAUGGACGAAAGCGUGGGGAGCGAACAGG